AGUGAACGCUGGCGGCAGGCCUAACACAUGCAAGUCGAACGGACCCUUCGGGGUUAGUGGCGGACGGGUGAGUAACACGUGGGAACGUGCCUUUAGGUUCGGAAUAGCUCCUGGAAACGGGCGGUAAUGCCGAAUGUGCCCUUCGGGGGAAAGAUUUAUCGCCUUUAGAGCGGACUGCGUCUGAUUAGCUAGUUGGCGGGGUAACGGCUCACCAAGGCGACGAUCAGUAGCUGGUCUGAGAGGAUGACCAGCCACAUUGGGACUGAGAUACGGCCCAAACUCCGACGGGAGGCAGCAGUGGGGAAUCGUGCGAAAGGGGGGAAAGCCUGACGCAGCCAGGCCGCGUGGAUGAUGAAGGUCGUAGGAUUGUAAAAUCCUUUCACCGGUGAAGAUAAUGACUGUAGCCGGAGAAGAAGCCCCGGCUAACUUCGUGCCAGCAGCCGCGGUAA
rnacentral:rRNA from 1 species